rnacentral:misc_RNA from 1 species
GUCAUCAAAUAAAUUGUUACCUGAUCUAGCUUGUUGAUGAAAGUUUUUCUAGUUUGACGGUAUCUUGGGAAUAUCGUAUCCGAAGAUUUCUGUUAACGGGGUACCUCCAGUUUUCAACAACAUGAUUGAACAAGGAUUGGUAGAAGAGCCAGUUUUUCCUUCUGGCUUAGCAGGUAUAUUUUUAUUUUUCCUUUAGUUUCGAAUUUCGAUAUUACAAAUUUUCUGAAAGGAAUCCUGAUGCCACCGAGGGCGGAGAAAUUACAUUUGGUUGAUCAGACCCAAAUCGCUACACUGGCGAAAUUACUUGGGUUCCUGUUACCAGAAAACCUUAUUGGCAAUUCGAAGUUGAUGGCGUGCAGGUUUCCAAUGAAGCUGAGGGUUCCUUUUGUCUAGGCGGAUGUCAAAUGAUUGCCGAUACUGGAACAUCUCUCAUUGCUGGCCCUGUAGAUGAUUAAGAAAUUGAACACACUGAUCGGUGGUGUCCCGAUCAUGGCCGGGGAAUAUUAUAUCACCUGCAGCAAAGUUGAUGAGCUUCCGACGAUUUCUUUUACCAUUGGAGGGAAAUAUUGCAGCUUAGAAGGGAGAGAAUAUGUUUUACAGAUUGUGAAGUCAAACUGUGUAUCGGUUUGCAUGUUUGUUGCAAGUUCAAGAAGACACUACAUCAUCAGAAACAGCUCGGCAGGAGCACUCUUAUCCAAGCAGCUAAUAAAGUCGAUUCGCUGCCAGCAGUCACUGUGUUCGCCCACGCCUUACGCUUUUUUAAGGAACACGCACUUCGUGAACUGUCAGAUCAGACGGUCAUUCCCAUUCAUAAUGAGGAUAUCCGCUGUGUUAUCAACCUUUCCGGCCAUAUGGCGAUCAGCGGCCAAGCAACUGAUGCGUGAGGCGGCCUAUAAGGCUGGCCUCGGUUAUGAUCGUUUACCUCACCAAGUGCUGAUCUCUCUGAAGCCUGAAGCCGCCUCACUUUUCUGUCGCCAGUUGAAACGAAACCAACUGAAAACCGAAAAGCCGGCCGAAUUACCAUUAACUCCAGCCAGUUUAGGCAAACCACGACCUCUUAAACCAUGGAACAGAAGUGCGCAGAGGGAAUCUAUGUAUGUCGAUGCUGUACUGGAUGUUUGUCCAGGUCAACGCUAUAUGGUCGUGGAUUGUGGAGGAGAUGCAGAAACUGUUGGCUGCAGACAGACCAAAUGAAUACGCAGGGUAAAACGGACAUUCCCGCCCCGCAAGCCCCAACACCUCACCCCGGAUAUGCUCUUCACGCCACACUACAAGCUAUUAAGCGACACGCAGUUGAACUGAUGAACCAAAAAGAGCAGGAAGAAAAAUAACGCCCGGCAACCAAAAGUAUUCGAUUAACAUCAGCCCUAAUUCUUCGUAACAUUGCCACCCACUCCGCAUUAGGACGAAGGAGUCUCCAUCGUUACGAAAAUCAUUUAGCUAGCGUUGCGUUGAGCAACGUUGAGUCAUCCCGAACUGUAGCGCAAAAAUUUGGUUUACCAUGGUCAAACCAUCUUUAGCAAGCGUGAGUAAUCUAGGGACAAGGCUGCUGAUAUAUUCCUCGAUGGCGUUGACAUUGUCUGACAUGUAUUUGUGUUGGUGAUAUUUAUUUAGCUGAUUACUUUCCUUCAGGGCCAGUAUCCUUUGCAUUUUAAGUUCCUCGUACUAGAAACAAAUGCAGAAUCAUGCCAAUUUGAUAGUGACUGCCAAAAUACAAGUCUAAUAACUCA